AAAAAGGCAAACCUUGGGUUUCCGUGUCCAACUUUGAUUGUCCGUCUUAUAUAAAUUUUUUUAUAAUUCAUAUUUUUAUUGUUGUUAGAUGAUAAAAUAUGAUUAAUAUUUUAUGCGUGACUUGUAUUUUUAUUUAUUUUCAUAAUUUUUUCAAAUAAGACGGACGGUCAAACGUUGGGCACGAAAACCAGGGUUUGUCUUUUU
rnacentral:pre_miRNA from 1 species